GAUGAACGCUGGCGGCGUGCCUAAUACAUGCAAGUCGAGCGAACAGACGAGGAGCUUGCUCCUCUGACGUUAGCGGCGGACGGGUGAGUAACACGUGGAUAACCUACCUAUAAGACUGGGAUAACUUCGGGAAACCGGAGCUAAUACCGGAUAACAUGUUGAACCGCAUGGUUCAACAGUGAAAGACGGUCUUGCUGUCACUUAUAGAUGGAUCCGCGCCGCAUUAGCUAGUUGGUAAGGUAACGGCUUACCAAGGCAACGAUGCGUAGCCGACCUGAGAGGGUGAUCGGCCACACUGGAACUGAGACACGGUCCGGACUCCUACGGGAGGCAGCAGUAGGGAAUCUUCCGCAAUGGGCGAAAGCCUGACGGAGCAACGCCGCGUGAGUGAAGAAGGUCUUCGGAUCGUAAAACUCUGUUAUUAGGGAAGAACAAAUGUGUAAGUAACUAUGCACGUCUUGACGGUACCUAAUCAGAAAGCCACGGCUAACUACGUG
rnacentral:rRNA from 1 species